AUUGAACGCUGGCGGCAGGCCUAACACAUGCAAGUCGAACGAGUGGCGGACGGGUGAGUAAUGUCUGGGAAACUGCCCGAUGGAGGGGGAUAACUACUGGAAACGGUCGCUAAUAACGCAUACCAUCGGAUGUGCCCAGGUGGGAUUAGCUAGUAGGUGGGGUAACGGCUCACCUAGGCGACGAUCCCUAGCUGGUCUGCGAGGAUGACCAGCCACACUGGAACUGAGACACGGUCCGGACUCCUACGUGAGGCAGCAGUGGGGAAGAUUGCACAAUGGGCGCAAGCCUGAUGCAGCCAUGCCGCGUGUAUGAAGAAGGCCUUCGGGUUGUAAAGUACUGUCAGCGAGGAGGCGUUACUCGCAGAAGAAGCACCGGCUAACUCCGUGCCAGCAGCCGCGGUAAUAC
rnacentral:rRNA from 1 species